CGGCGGACGGGUGAGUAAUGCGUAGGAAGCUACCCGAUAGAGGGGGAUACCAGUUGGAAACGACUGUUAAUACCGCAUAAUGUCUACGGACCAAAGUGUGGGACCUUCGGNNCACAUGCUAUCGGNUGCGCCUACGUGGGAUUAGCUAGUUGGUGAGGCAAUGGCUCACCAAGGCGACGAUCCCUAGCUGGUUUGAGAGGAUGAUCAGCCACACUGGAACUGAGACACGGUCCAGACUCCUACGGGAGGCAGCAGUGGGGAAUAUUGGACAAUGGGCGCAAGCCUGAUCCAGCCAUGCCGCGUGUGUGAAGAAGGCCUUCGGGUUGUAAAGCACUUUCAGCGAGGAGGAAGGGGUUGUAGUUAAUAGCUGCAACCUUUGACGUUACUCGCAGAAGAAGCACCGGCUAACUCUGUGCCAGCAGCCGCGGUAAUACAGAGGGUGCAAGCGUUAAUCGGAAUUACUGGGCGUAAAGCGCACGCAGGCGGUUGGUUAAGUCAGAUGUGAAAGCCCCGGGCUCAACCUGGGAAUUGCAUUUGAAACUGGCCAACUAGAGUACGUGAGAGGGGGGUAGAAUUCCAAGUGUAGCGGUGAAAUGCGUAGAGAUUUGGAGGAAUACCAGUGGCGAAGGCGGCCCCCUGGCACGAUACUGA
rnacentral:rRNA from 1 species